rnacentral:rRNA from 1 species
UACGUAGGGGGCGAGUGUUGUUCGGAAUUACUGGGCAUAAAGGGUGCGUAGGCGGGAAGCCAAGCAAGGCGUGAAAGACCCUGGCUUAACUAGGGAACUGCGCUUUGAACUGGUUUUCUGGAGUGCAGGAUGGGUGAGCAGAAUUCCCGGUGUAGGGGUGAAAUCUAUAGAUAUCGGGAGGAAUACCGGUCGCGAAGGCGGCUCACUGGCCUGUAACUGACGCUGAAGCACGAAAGCGUGGGGAU